GGCCCGUUGGUCAAGCGGUUAAGACACCGCCCUUUCACGGGCGGUAACACGGGUUCGAAUCCCGUACGGGUCA
rnacentral:tRNA from 1 species